rnacentral:tRNA from 2 species
GGGUCGUUAGCUCAGUUGGUAGAGCAUCUGACUUUUAAUCAGGUGGUCGCAGGUUCGAAUCCUGCACGACCCACCA